rnacentral:misc_RNA from 1 species
GAUGAAGAACGUAGCGAAAUGCGAUACGUAAUGUGAAUUGCAGAAUUCAGUGAAUCAUCGAGUCUUUGAACGCACAUUGCGCCCGCCAGCAUUCUGGCGGGCAUGCCUGUUCGAGCGUCAUUUCAACCCUCGAGCCCGACUUCCUUGCGGAGGACGGCUCGGCGUUGGGGGACGGCACACUCCCCCCGGCUCGCCGGGGACGCCGCCCCCGAAAUUCAGUGGCGGCCCUCGGAGGCGACCUCUGCGUAGUAACUCAACCUCGCAAAGGGAAGCUCCGAGCGGCCACGCCGUGAAACCCCAACUAUAUCAAGGUUGACCUCGAAUCAGGUAGGACUACCCGCUGAACUUAAGCAUAUCAAUAAGCGGAGGA